rnacentral:rRNA from 1 species
CCUACGGGGGGCUGCAGUAGGGAAUAUUGGACAAUGGGGGAAACCCUGAUCCAGCAAUGCCGCGUGAGUGAUGAAGGCCUUAGGGUUGUAAAGCUCUUUUACCCGAGAUGAUAAUGACAGUAUCGGGAGAAUAAGCUCCGGCUAACUCCGUGCCAGCAGCCGCGGUAAUACGGAGGGAGCUAGCGUUGUUCGGAAUUACUGGGCGUAAAGCGCACGUAGGCGGCGAUCUAAGUCAGAGGUGAAAGCCCGGGGCUCAACCCCGGAAUUGCCUUUGAGACUGGAUUGCUAGAAUCCGGGAGAGGUGAGUGGAAUUCCGAGUGUAGAGGUGAAAUUCGUAGAUAUUCGGAAGAACACCAGUGGCGAAGGCGGCUCACUGGACCGGCAUUGACGCUGAGGUGCGAAAGCGUGGGGAGCAAACAGGAUUAGAUACCCUUGUAGUC